rnacentral:rRNA from 1 species
AUGGAAUCACCUGAGCCAGAAAAUUCCUGUGAAGAUUGGGGAUAUGAAAUCACUGUAAUCACUCGACUUGUCAAGGAACAAUAUCUCCGGUGCAAUCCCAACAAGCCUCUCAGAUUUGACAUAUCUAAGCUCCUUGGACUUGUCAUACAACAAUCUUGCAGGAAGAAUUCCAACAGGCCGUCAACUGGUCACUCUGUACGCAGAAGAUCCGUCCAUGUACGAUGGCAACAGUCGGCUUUGCGGCCCUCCUCUUCAAAGGAAUUGCUCAGGCAACAGUCGACCAGAGCAUGGGAAUCAGCAGAGAAGUGA